CAAACUUUCUAAAAUUGGAGGUAAAACCAUCAAGACAAAUACAAAUAAAUGUGAUGCAAAGUGUAUGACAGCAUGCAACCUUAAUCAAACUUUUAACCUGACAAAGUGUCUCAUAACUUGUAAAAAUUAUAAUUUGUGUGAACUUGGUUGUUUAUUCUACAGUCAUAUUAAAGAAAAUGACACUGGUUGUUGACCAACGGUUUAUAAUCAAAAUUUAAUAUGGCUGGCGGUAAAGGUAAAGAGAAGUUUAAAGGAACAAACACUAGAGAGCGUUUUGUCAAUUAAAGUGACUGCUACAGUUACCGAAAUAAGAAAGGGAAUAAUGACUUUAUUAAAAUACGCACUCGACAGAUCUAAUGGUGGUGAUCGGCGCGUAAAAGGCAAUUCACCCGAUGUAUAACAUUUAUACUUUUUCCUAGUUGUUCUGGAACUAUUGAUAAUAGUUAUUAUUGAAAAAUUGAUAAAUAUAUUACUGAUAAAUAAAACUUUUUUUUU